rnacentral:rRNA from 1 species
GGAUCAUUAAAGAGUUUAAUAAAACUCCUAAACCCUUGUGAACUCACCAGGUCGGAUUCUCGCCAGAGAUAGUCUGGUUUCUGCUUCGCGGAUCGCCUGCCCGUGACACCCUGUCACAGGCAGGUACGCUUCUGCCGCGGGUCCGCAGGUAAUCGUCUGUUCCACAAGGCCUGCCUAGUGGAUGGCGAUUUACCUGUGGAAGAGAUCCUCUAACUAUAUUCUUAUUAUAAAAUCUGUGAACUUACAUGGUUUGACGCGGCAGAUAGCGCAUACCUCGCGAGACCCCACUCUGGGGAACUCGCAGAGUAGGCGCAGGUCUGUCUUUCCAUAUUCGUAAGGCUCUCUCUAUUUUAUUAGAGAGCAGCCUACGCAGUGGACACAGUUAGUUACCUUAUACGUCGCGAGAUCGCAAGCGUUAUUGUGUAAAUACUGUGGAGGUCACCUAACCUUGUCUAUUUAGGUUUGGUUUAUCUGUUUGUUCACCAGAUCAAACACUCUGAAUAAAAUCUUAAACUAGUUAAAACUUUCAACAACGGAUCUCUUGGUUCUGGCAUCGAUGAAGAACGCAGCGAAAUGCGAUAAGUAAUGUGAAUUGCAGAAUUCAGUGAAUCAUCGAAUCUUUGAACGCACAUUGCGCCCAUUAGUAUUCUAGUGGGCAUGCCUGUUCGAGCGUCAUUUCAACCCUUAAGCCCCUGUUGCUUAGCGUUGGGAGCCUACAGCCUGCUGUAGCUCCUUAAAGGUAGUGGCGGAGUCGGUUCACACUCUAGACGUAGUAAAAUCUUUUAUCUCGCCUAUAGAUGAGCCGGCGCCUUGCCGUAAAACCCCUAAUCUUUCACAAGGUUGACCUCGGAUCAGGUAGGAAUACCCGCUGAACUUAAGCAUAUCAAUAAGCGGAGGAAAAGAAACCAACAGGGAUUGCCCUAGUAACGGCGAGUGAAGCGGCAACAGCUCAAAUUUGAAAUCUGGCCUUCGGGUCCGAGUUGUAAUUUGUAGAGGAUGCUUUGGGCGCGGUGCCUUCCGAGUUCCCUGGAACGGGACGCCUUAGAGGGUGAGAGCCCCGUACGGUUGGACAUCAAGCCUCUGUAAAGCUCCUUCGACGAGUCGAGUAGUUUGGGAAUGCUGCUCUAAAUGGGAGGUAAAUUUCUUCUAAAGCUAAAUAUUGGCCAGAGACCGAUAGCGCACAAGUAGAGUGAUCGAAAGAUGAAAAGCACUUUGAAAAGAGGGUUAAAUAGCACGUGAAAUUGUUGAAAGGGAAGCGUUUGCGACCAGACCUUUUCUCAGCGGAUCAUCCGGUGUUCUCACCGGUGCACUUCGCUGGGUUGAGGCCAGCAUCGGUUUCCGCAGGGGGAUAAAAGCCUGGGGAACGUAGCUCCCUCGGGAGUGUUAUAGCCCCUCGCAUAAUACCCUUGCGGGGACCGAGGACCGCGCU